GAUGCCUCCCAGACCCCGCUCUGUCAGUUGACAUUGGGAACGACCCCUGCUCUCACUCCCAUUACUCCCAGUGCGGACACUGGGCACGGCGGUGGCGAUCACAGCGUGGCGGGGCAGGAAGGGGCUUCGGGCCCGAGCCCUGCAUUGCACAGCCACGUCCAGUUUGGAGCCAUCGCCUCGAGCUGUGCACCAGAGCCACCUCCAGCCUUUGAGCCAGCAUCCCGGCACCUUCCUGCACCCGCAUCCCCCCUCCGCAGGCUCCACCACAGGGUACAGCCAGGAAGGUCCCAGUCCCAAUACCCCAUGGUACCCCAUUGGGUACCCCACCAGGUUAUGCUCAGAGGUACCUCUAUACCCUGCGAUCCCCCCCUCCAACAGCAGAAGCUAAGCCAGCUCCCCCGGGCAGCUGGGUUGUGUCUAAAGGUGCCCCUGGGUAUUUAUAGCACUCGCCCGAAAUAAUGCAAUAAUAAUCACUCAGCACCUUCCUAACAGUUCUGAUCCCAGAUGCCUGGGGGAAUGGUUGCAAAAAGCCUUGGGAAACUGAGGCAU